rnacentral:tmRNA from 1 species
GGGGGUGUACUGGUUUCGACGGGGGUGCGGAGGCAGAAAUAGCGGGCGGAUGCGCCUGACAUCCAUAAAACGGGCAAACUUUUAUAAAUUAAAGAACAACGAUAAUUCUGUUCUUCUCGCUGCAUAAUUAGCGAGCGUUCCACCCGGGAGGACCACGGCCCGGGAUGGGGCGUCGACAAGUGGUGAACGUGCGCACGCAAAGCUUUGAGCGGGCCAUGUAUAAUGAAGCUACCAAGCCCUGCAGCGUGACGGCCUGCGGCGGGGCGAGGGAAUGUAAAUGACCGUCUGCGCCCGGAGAAGUUUCUGUUAAAGUGCUUUCGGACGGGGGUUCGAUUCCCCCCAUCUCCACCA